AAAUGAUUCUGGCUCAGACAACGCUGGCGGGAUGCUUUACACAUGCAAGUCGAACGGCAGCACGGACUUCGGUCUGCGGCGAGAGUGGCGAACGGGUGAGUAAUGUAUCGGAACGUGCCUAGUAGCGGGGGAUAACUACGCGAAAGCGUAGCCAAUACCGCAUAUUGCCCUUCGGGGGAAAGCGGGGACCUUCGGGCCUCGCACUAUUAGAGCGGCCGGAUAUCGGAUUAGCUAGUUGCGGGGUAACGGCUCACCAAGGCGACGAUCCGUAGCUGGUUUGAGAGGACGACAGCCACACUGGGACUGAGACACGGCCCAGACUCCUACGGAGUGCAGCAGUGGGAAUUUUGACAAUGGGGGGAAACCCUGAUCCAGCCAUCUCGCGUGCGAUGAAGGCCUUCGGGUUGUAAAGCACUUUUGGCAGGAAAGAAACGGCACGGGAUAAUACCCCGUGCAACUGACGGUACCUGCAGAAUAAGCACCGGCUAACUACGUGCCAGCAGCCGCGGUAAUACUGUAGGCAAGCGUUAAUCGGAAUUACUGCCAUGUAAAGCGUGCGCAGGCGGUUCGAAGAAAGAUGAAAUCCCAGAGCUAACUUUGGAACUGCAUUUUUAACUACUGAGCUAGAGUGUGUCAGAGGGAGUGUGGAAUUCCGCGUGUAGCAGUGAAAUGCGUAGAUAUGCGGAGGAACACCGAUGGCGAAGGCAGCCUCCUGGGAUAACACUGACGCUCGCACGAAAGCGUGGGAGCAAACAGGAUUAGAUACCCCAGUAGUCCACGCCCUAAAAACGAUGUCAACUAGCUGUUGGGGCCUUCGGGCCUUGUGUAGCGCAGCUAACGCGUGAAGUUGACCGCCUGGGGAGUACGGUCGCAAGAUUAAACUCAAAGGAAUUGACGGGGACUCCGCACAAGCGGUGGAUGAUGUGGAUUAAUUCGAUGCAACGCGAAAAAAACCUUACCUACCCUUGACAUGUCUGGAAUCCCGAAGAGAUUUGGGAGUGCCUGCAAGAGAACCGGAACACAGGUGCUGCAUGGCUGUCGUCAGCUCGUGUCAGAGACGUUGGGUUAAGUCCCGCAACGAGCGCAACUCCCUUGUCAUUAGUUGCUACGAAAGGGCAUUCUAUCGAGACUGCCGGUGACAAACCGGAGGAAGGUGGGGAUGACGUCAAGUCCUCAUGGUCCAGUGUGCUUCACACGUCAUACAAUGGUCGGGACAGAGGGUCGCCAACCCGCGAGGGGGGAGCUGCCAAUCCCAGAAACCCGAUCGUAGUCCGGAUCGCAGUCUGCAACUCGGACUGCGUGUCGGAAUCGCUAGUAAUCGCGGAUCAGCAUGUCGCGGUGAAUACGUUCCGUCUUGCAUUGAAUACCGCCCGUCACACCAUGGGAGUGGGUUUUACCAGAAGUAGUUAGGCCUAACCGUAAGGAGGGCGAUUACCACGGUAGGAUUCAUGACUGGGUGAAGUCGUAACAAGGUAA
rnacentral:rRNA from 1 species